GCUGAAGAACGUAGCGAAAUGCGAUAAGUAAUGUGAAUUGCAGAAUUCAGUGAAUCAUCGAAUCUUUGAACGCACAUUGCGCCCCCUGGUAUUCCGGGGGGCAUGCCUGUCCGAGCGUCAUUACAACCCUCAAGCUCAGCUUGGUGUUGGGCCCCGCCGCCCCGGCGGGCCCUAAAGUCAGUGGCGGUGCCGUCCGGCUCCGAGCGUAGUAAUUCUUCUCGCUCUGGAGGUCCGGUCGUGUGCUCGCCAGCAACCCCCAAUUUUUUUCAGGUUGACCUCGGAUCAGGUAGGGAUACCCGCUGAACUUAAGCAUAUCAAUAACGGAGGA
rnacentral:misc_RNA from 1 species